rnacentral:rRNA from 1 species
UUAUCGAUAUGUGAAUACAUAGCAUAUCAGAAGGCACACCCGGAGAACUGAAACAUCUUAGUACCCGGAGGAAGAGAAAGAAAAUUCGAUUCCCUUAGUAGCGGCGAGCGAAACGGGAAGAGCCCAAACCAACAAGCUUGCUUGUUGGGGUUGUAGGACACUCUAUACGGAGUUACAAAGGACGACAUUAGACGAAUCAUCUGGAAAGAUGAAUCAAAGAAGGUAAUAAUCCUGUAGUCGAAAAUGUUGUCUCUCUUGAGUGGAUCCUGAGUACGACGGAGCACGUGAAAUUCCGUCGGAAUCUGGGAGGACCAUCUCCUAAGGCUAAAUACUCUCUAGUGACCGAUAGUGAACCAGUACCGUGAGGGAAAGGUGAAAAGCACCCCGGAAGGGGAGUGAAAUAGAACCUGAAACCGUGUGCUUACAAGUAGUCAGAGCCCGUUAAUGGGUGAUGGCGUGCCUUUUGUAGAAUGAACCGGCGAGUUACGAUUUGAUGCAAGGUUAAGCAGUAAAUGUGGAGCCGUAGCGAAAGCGAGUCUGAAUAGGGCGUUUAGUAUUUGGUCGUAGACCCGAAACCAGGUGAUCUACCCUUGGUCAGGUUGAAGUUCAGGUAACACUGAAUGGAGGACCGAACCGACUUACGUUGAAAAGUGAGCGGAUGAACUGAGGGUAGCGGAGAAAUUCCAAUCGAACCUGGAGAUAGCUGGUUCUCUCCGAAAUAGCUUUAGGGCUAGCCUCAAGUGAUGAUUAUUGGAGGUAGAGCACUGUUUGGACGAGGGGCCCCUCUCGGGUUACCGAAUUCAGACAAACUCCGAAUGCCAAUUAAUUUAACUUGGGAGUC